AUGGCUUCUACAUCUGUUCACAAGACAAUGGCCGCCAUGUUCUUGCUGGUCCUGACCCUAGGGCACCUGAUGGCCGCUGCUGAUGCCUCUUUGCACCACCAGGACGCUCGACGGCUGCUCGUAGAGCACAAUAAUCUCCCCGUGAAGCUGGGCCACUCCGAAGCUGUAAGGGUCGCCGUCGGACCACAAGAGCAACCCGGAACCACUGCCGUCCCGACAAAUGCUGAUAAGGAAGCCUUGUGCCCUUGCUGGCCCGCCAUGUUGCUAGCUAACGGCCAAAGGAUGUUGAUGUUCAAUUGA
rnacentral:rRNA from 1 species